UGCAUCGGCCGGGAAUCGAACCCGGGCCGCCCGCGUGGCUACCACUGAGCCACCGAUGC
rnacentral:tRNA from 1 species